rnacentral:miRNA from 1 species
UUUGGCCAACUAGAUCUAUGA